rnacentral:rRNA from 1 species
GACGAACCGUGCAACCGUUAUUCGGAAUCACUGGGCAUAAAGGGCGCGUAGGCGGCUUCAUAAGUCAGGGGUGAAAUCCGGCAGCUUAACUGUCGCAGUGCCUUUGAUACUGUGGAGCUCGAGGGAGGUAGGGGUCUGUGGAACUUCCGGUGGAGCGGUGAAGUGCGUUGAUAUCGGAAGGAACGCCGGUGGCGAAGGCGGGUCUCUGGGCCGUAACUGACGCUGAGGAGCGAAAGCGUGGGGAGCGAACAGG